UACGGAGGGUGCAAGCGUUAUCCGGAUUCACUGGGUUUAAAGGGUGCGUAGGCGGGUAUGUAAGUCAGUGGUGAAAUCUCGGAGCUUAACUCCGAAACUGCCAUUGAUACUAUAUAUCUUGAAUAUUGUGGAGGUUUGCGGAAUAUGUCAUGUAGCGGUGAAAUGCUUAGAUAUGACAUAGAACACCUAUUGCGAAGGCAGCAGGCUACACAUAUAUUGACGCUGAGGCACGAAAGCGUGGGGAUCAAACAGG
rnacentral:rRNA from 1 species